CACAAACUCUUUUCUAAACUGUGUUAGCUGUCAACCGAUUAUUCUACCCCCUAUUUAUGGACUGUCUUCACUAUCGCUCAAUCCGAACAUAAACAAAGGGCCCAAACUAAUCGAACAUACCCCAAACUAAUCGAACAUACCUUUUGUAACUAGUUUGAGGUAGAUGGAAAACACAAAUUCUAUGUCGCUUUUGUUGGUCGUAUCCCAGGGAUCUAUUUAUUCUGACACAAAUGUCAUGGACAAGUCGGUGGAUACAAAGGGG